UUAUCAGGUGUUUCUGAAAGUCCGCUUUCCUGUGGUGGAUUCUAUUAAUAUUUGUUCUCUCUACCUAGUGUUUUGUUGGAAAUGUUGGAUUGGACAAUAAAGACCAUUGUGGAAAAAAGGGGCUUCAUCAAGGAAUCUUGGUGUCAUAAAAAAGGAUUGAGACUACUUAAAGAGAAAUCAGUAAAUCAUUAAAGUUUUGAGAAAAUGGGAACACCAUAUUUCUGAAAAGAUGGUCCUCUCAGGAAUGUCCAAUUUGCUGUGUUUAAUGAGCCUCUGCUUUGAGAAGUCGCAGGGCAUCCCAGGAGCUAUCUUCUUCACACCUUACCUGGAGAAGGGCUGUUUUCAUGUUAACAGGGACCAAAAAACCUUAAGUCAAAAUAAUGACACUCUAGGGAAUUAUCUUCAGGCACCAGUGAGUAAGAGGAAGAAGUAUAUUUCAGAGCACUGGUCCCUGUUCAGCAUCCCAGAAAUAAUACGAUGUGAACAGAUGACUACUCCAGCUAAAUAAAAGAAAAAGUGGCCUGAUCAGAUCUGGAUUACUUUCUAACAUAUGAUAAUUCUUAUGAAUUAAAAUUAACUUCUGAC